UGGGGAAUAUUGCACAAUGGGGGGAACCCUGAUGCAGCAACGCCGCGUGAAGGAAGAAGUAUUUCGGUAUGUAAACUUCUAUCGACAGGGAAGAAAGAAAUGACGGUACCUGAAUAAGAAGCCCCGGCUAACUACGUGCCAGCAGCCGCGGUAAUACGUAGGGGGCAAGCGUUAUCCGGAAUUACUGGGUGUAAAGGGUGAGUAGGCGGCUACGCAAGUCAUAUGUGAAAUACGAAGGCUUAACCUUCGUGCCGCAUAAGAAACUGUAUAGCUUAGAGUGCGGGAGAGGCAAGCGGAAUUCCUGGUGUAGCGGUGAAAUGCGUAGAUAUCAGGAAGAACACCGGUGGCGAAGGCGGCUUGCUGGACCGUAACUGACGCUGAGUCACGAAAGCGUGGGGAGCGAACAGG
rnacentral:rRNA from 1 species